UUUAAUUAUAAGUUUAACCAAGAUUAUAUUA
rnacentral:rRNA from 1 species